rnacentral:tRNA from 1 species
UAUAUAUUAGUGUAAUUUAAACACGUUAAUUUUUGAAAUUAAAUAUAAUAAUUUAUUUUAUUAUGUAUAU